rnacentral:lncRNA from 1 species
UUCACCUAUUUUCGAUAAUAUUUGGAUCUCAACAAACGCGGUCAACCCUAAAUCAACAUCACAAAUCAUGCGAAAACGCUAUUACAUAUCCCUCUGUGGCCUAGUUUUGUUGAUUCUUCCACACACACAUUCUCACAUGAAUGAGAUGUAACUACCUAUGUAAAAUUUUUGGGACGUUUACCUCCGGACGAUAGGACUCCCUAUAGGGAAGCAUAAGCCUAAAUAGGGUUAACCGCUUUUAUCGGGACUUAAAACAUUACCAAAAAUACGUAAUUUUUUAAAUCUAACCGUAUUUAGCUAUACCGAUCACAUCAUAUUUCACAAUAUUGAAAAAUUGAAGUGAUGCAGAGGAUAUAAAGAUGAUUUCACUUAAGCGAUAGAAAUAUUUCGUCACUAAAGUCAAAAAAUUGUGUCGCUUUAGUUUAAAACUAAGACGACGGACGAAAAGUUAAUUUGUCAGUUAGGUGAAGGAUAUCAUGCAACAAACAUUUUCAUCGCUUAAGUGUUAACAUUUUCAUCGCUACAUAAAUCUUCUGCGACAAAAUCCGUGUUGUCGCCUUAGAGGGACCUAUGGUGACGAAAUUUAGGCGACAAAAACAUUUUGCCGCCCCAGAAAAUUGUAGCGACGAAAUAUGUAUCUCCGGCGACGAUAUUUAUUUUCGUCGUUUAGGAUUUGCUUAAGCGAAGGGACGAAAUGUAAAAGUGCCCGUCACUUGAGCCUUUUUUUCUACUAGUGUUCCGCUGUCAUCUGUAAAAAGACAAGAAGAUAGUGGUACAUAGAAAAAAGGAAAAUACCCAUUUGCACAUAAACAUGGAUUUUAAAGCCUAUUUCAAUAAAAAUAAGACUUCAUAGCUCAUUCCAAUAAAAACUAAACAAAAGGAUGACCUUACCCUCGCUACAAUUCAACUAAACCUCUCUCCUUGUUUCACAUCCCGAUCUAAAUUCUCUCUCUCUCUCUCNNNNNNNNNNNNNNNNNNNNCUACCUACUACCUACUACUACUCUCUCUCUCUCUCUCUCUCUCUCUCUCUCUCUCUCUCUCUCUCUCUCUCUCAUCGUCAGCGAUGAUGUCAACGACCAUCACCAAUCGGAUCCGGAUUCCUAGGGUCCGUUUUCAAGAGCUGAUCUGGUUGUGCUACCUCGCUCCUCGCCGCGGUUUCGAAAUCCGACUUCGAUAGGAUCCGAUUGAGAGAAGGGAGACGAAGGGACGUUAUGGUCUGAGGUGCUAGUGGUUCAACUCAAUGCGCGGGCUGCCAGACAUUUUCACCGUCGUUUGAGGUUCUAGUCAUUGCAUGUUUGUCGACGAGAGAAGCUCGAACAACGUCGCCGGAGCUAAUCCUUUGCGAGAUCCGGCCUCGUAAUCAUUUCGAAUUCCAAGCUUCGACUAGUACUAGCCUCACCGACUGGAAGGGCCGGUGGAGACUCUUGCAUCUAUUGUCCCACCCUUCCAUCGACGUCAGAGAAGAAAUCGACCGGAAAUUCGAAAAUUUCUAAGUUGCAGAGAUUUCGGUCGAGUUCUUCAAGGGGUAAUAAAGUUCUACUAGGGGUAAUAAAUCUAGGGAAGUUUAUUGCCCCCUAGUAAAAUUUCAAUGGAAGUUUAUUGCCCUCAAACAAAACAUUUUUCAUCAUUACUGCCUCUCAAUAAGUUUUUAUUGACCUCAAUAGAAGUUUAUUACCCCCAAUAAAACCUCAGUAGAAGUUUAUUGCCCCCCAGUGAAAUCUCAGUAGAAGUUUAUUGUCCCUCCCCCCUAGCAAAACAUUUUUCAUCAAUACUGCCCCUCAAUAAGGUUCUAGUGACCUCAGUAGAAGUUUAUUGCCCCCCAGUAAAACAUUUUUCAUCAUUACUGCCCUCAAUUAAACUUCAGCGAUGGUGUGGUAUGCUUUCGGCAAGAUUUGGUAGAUUCCGGUGACGUUAAAAAAAAUCCUGCGAGAUUCCAGCGACCAGCGAGAUUUCGGACAUCGGUGAGGUUUUGGCCAAAUCUUCUCUCUCUCUCUCUNNNNN